UGGGGAAUAUUGCACAAUGGGCGCAAGCCUGAUGCAGCCAUGCCGCGUGUGUGAAGAAGGCCUUCGGGUUGUAAAGCACUUUCAGCGAGGAGGAAGGUGGUGAGCUUAAUACGCUCAUCAAUUGACGUUACUCGCAGAAGAAGCACCGGCUAACUCCGUGCCAGCAGCCGCGGUAAUACGGAGGGUGCAAGCGUUAAUCGGAAUUACUGGGCGUAAAGCGCACGCAGGCGGUUUGUUAAGUCAGAUGUGAAAUCCCCGGGCUCAACCUGGGAACUGCAUUUGAAACUGGCAAGCUAGAGUCUCGUAGAGGGGGGUAGAAUUCCAGGUGUAGCGGUGAAAUGCGUAGAGAUCUGGAGGAAUACCGGUGGCGAAGGCGGCCCCCCUGGACGAAGACUGACGCUCAGGUGCGAAAGCGUGGGGCAGCAAACAGGAUUAGAUACCCUGGUAGUCCAGCGCUGUAAACGAUGUCGAUUUGGAGGUUGUGCCCCUUGAGGCGUGGCUUCCGGAGCUAACGCGUUAAAUCGACCGCCUGGGGAGUACGGCCGCAAGGUUAAAACUUAAAUGAAUUGAC
rnacentral:rRNA from 1 species